rnacentral:rRNA from 1 species
AUCGGCAGCCAUAUGACCCUGUAGCCCAAGACCCACUGAAGCUAAGCAGGGUUGAGCCUGGGCAGUAUCUGGAUGGGAGACCUCCUGGGAAAACUAGGUUGCUGCUGGAA